CCAGCAACACCUAAAACUAUAGUGGAUUCAGGAAACAAAAGUAUGACAAAUUCCUCAGCAACAACUACAUGCUGUACAACAAACACAACCAAGACAAACACAACAACCACCACCAGGACAAACACAACUGAGAAUAAUAAAGGGAAUAAUAAACAGAAUAAUGAAG